rnacentral:rRNA from 1 species
AACGAACGCUGGCGGCAUGCCUAACACAUGCAAGUCGAACGAGAUCUUCGGAUCUAGUGGCGCACGGGUGCGUAACGCGUGGGAAUCUGCCCUUUGCUUCGGAAUAACAGUUAGAAAUGACUGCUAAUACCGGAUGAUGUCUUCGGACCAAAAGAUUUAUCGGCAAAGGAUGAGCCCGCGUAGGAUUAGGUAGUUGGUGGGGUAAAGGCCUACCAAGCCGACGAUCCUUAGCUGGUCUGAGAGGAUGAUCAGCCACACUGGGACUGAGACACGGCCCAGACUCCUACGGGAGGCAGCAGUGGGGAAUAUUGGACAAUGGGCGAAAGCCUGAUCCAGCAAUA